rnacentral:rRNA from 1 species
UACGGAGGGUGCGAGCGUUGUUCGGAAUCACUGGGCGUAAAGGGCGCGUAGGCGGCGCCACAAGUCACUUGUGAAAACUCUGGGCUCAACUCAGAGCCUGCAAGCGAAACUGUGGUGCUGGAGUAUGGGAGAGGUGCGUGGAAUUCCCGGUGUAGCGGUGAAAUGCGUAGAUAUCAGGAGGAACACCAAUUGCGAAGGCAGCUCGCUGGGACGUUACUGACGCUGAGACGCGAAAGCGUGGGGAGCAAACAGG